rnacentral:lncRNA from 1 species
GACGACAUUACGUUCGACAUUUCUUUUUCCACGAGACGCUGUUCGAGAAGGUUACCUUUUUCAUGGCUCAUGGUGGGGCACUUUAUUUCCUGACGUUUUUCGUCAAUGCCUGGUGAAGUCUGAGCUUUUUCAUUGUAUUACGUGCACGUGAUCGCUGCCUGGUCAUGAAGAGGUCUCCACUAUUUUGCAAGGCAAUUGAUAUGAAAAGAGGAAAUUUGAAAAGUGGUUUAUCAGUCAUUCAGUUGGGAGAUGCCCCGAGAUGGAUGAUCAACUGCUGGGACUUCCCUCACAUCAUCGUCUUUUUCUAUGGAGACGCUGUCCGAGAAGGUUGAGCUUGGCCAUUGCAGGCAACUUUCUAUCUUGACAUUAUUAGUCUUAAAAAUGGUUUUCAUCGUCAGUUGUUGCUCUUUGGUAUGCAGUUCAUGUUCAGGUGGUUUUGUUGCAGCCAGCUAGUGAAAGGGAGUCCAAGUCGAGUUGAGCUGUAGCUUUUGAAGCAGUCAACAAUGCUCGCGUUAUUCCGAAAUGUAACAUCAAUGAAGACAUCAUGAAAUGGUCUUGGUGACGAUGCGAUCAUUAAUCUUCUGCAUGCAGUUUGUUAUCAAGAAGUGGAGAAGCAAGACUUGAAGCAAAGCUGCAAGAAAAAGAAAUGGUAUUGACGUUAAUGUGCAGUGGUUGUCCGACUCUUCUAGCUGUUGCUUUCCUGAAUUUUGCCGGAGUCUUUGAAAUAGCUGAUCCUGUCAUCCUGAAGUUAUGAUGCCGGGGUUAUCCUGGAGUACCUGUUGUUGGUGUCUUAAGUUACUGUGGCAGUUUGAUUCGGGUUGAUAAAAAUAUUAAUAUCCAUGUAGUAUGUGAUGUAGUAACCUUAAUAAGCUAUUAUGUUUUCCAUUGUGGCAUGUUGUGAACUGAUCUUGGUCUAAAAAGCAUUUGUGCUUCCUGAUAUUUCCCUCACCCAUAUAUAUCUAAUAAUUCUUAAAAAUGGGAUGUUAAAGUGAACAUCAAAUUUUUCAUUUUGCGUAGAAAAUUAAUAGUUCAUUUAUUUUUCACUUUGUGAAAUGACGAAAUAAAA